GCGCCCGUAGCUCAGGCGGAUAGAGCAGCGGUUUCCUAAACCGCGUGUCGGGAGUUCGAGUCUCUCCGGGCGCACCA
rnacentral:tRNA from 1 species